CGUGUGUGUGUGUGUGUGUGUGUGUGUGUGUCUGGGGUGUCCGCUUACACGGACAAGCUCCCACUUCCAUCCU
rnacentral:pre_miRNA from 11 species